AGGACGAACGCUGGCGGCGUGCCUAAAACAUGCAAGUCGAACGGAGGCUUCGGCCUCAGUGGCGAACGGCGGAGUAAUACAUAAGCAACGUGCCCCAAAGACUGGGAUAGCCAGCCGAAAGGCUGAGUAAUACCGGAUGUGGCCCUCUUUUGGCAUCUUAAGAGGAUUAAAUGGUUUUUCGCUUUGGGAGCGGCUUAUGGCCUAUCAGGUAGUUGGUGAGGUAACGGCUCACCAAGCCGACGACGGGUAGCGGGUCUGAGAGGACGAUCCGCUCGAGUGGGACUGAGACACGGCCCACACACCUACGGGUGGCAGCAGUUGGGAAUCUUGCACAAUGGGGGGAACCCUGAUGCAGCGACGCCGCGUGGAGGAUGAAGGAUCUAGGUCUGUAAACUCCUUUGUGGAAAGCUUAGGACGGUACCAACGAAUAAGCACCGGCUAACUACGCGCCAGCAGCCGC
rnacentral:rRNA from 1 species